rnacentral:rRNA from 1 species
GAUGAACGCUCGCUACAGGCUUAACACAUGCAAGUCGAGGGGAAACGGCAUUGAGUGCUUGCACUCUUUGGACGUCGACCGGCGCACGGGUGAGUAACGCGUAUCCAACCUUCCCAUUACUGUGGGAUAACCUGCCGAAAGGCAGACUAAUACCGCAUAGUCUUCGAUGACGGCAUCAGAUUUGAAGUAAAGAUUUAUCGGUAAUGGAUGGGGAUGCGUCUGAUUAGCUUGUUGGCGGGGUAACGGCCCACCAAGGCUACGAUCAGUAGGGGUUCUGAGAGGAAGGUCCCCCACAUUGGAACUGAGACACGGUCCAAACUCCUACGGGAGGCAGCAGUGAGGAAUAUUGGUCAAUGGACGGAAGUCUGAACCAGCCAAGUAGCGUGCAGGAUGACGGCACUAUGGGUUGUAAACUGCUUUUGUAUGGGGAUAAAGUUAGGGACGUGUCCCUAUUUGCAGGUACCAUACGAAUAAGGACCGGCUAAUUCCGUG